CCAGUCAUGAAACUAGACUCUUAAGUUUAUUGUCUCUCCAACAAAAACGGGACAAGGAAGCUUCUCACAGCCAAGAUACAACUAACUCCAGUGCCAUCUAGUGACUAAACUAUGUAACCACACUAUCCACACAUGAAGCUGCAAAGAUGGGGAAAACUUAACUGUCACACUGCUAAAAAGUCUCAACAGAUAAUCUGCCUGAGCAACUCAAACAACAAGUGGGGCAAAAGCAGGAUAUAUUAUGUAAGCUAUAAGAAUAAAAAAUAGCUAUAGGAAGGAGGCAUCAUAAGUGCAAAAAGUCCAGGGUUUUUUAAAAAGUAGAUUUGUUAUGCUAGGGCGGCAGAGCACUUUGAUUAUACAAACUUAAAUUUAUGAUAUGCAUUUGAAACCCUCCUGUGAAAUACAGUCUGUAGUCAUCCAAGUCAAACCCUUGAUCUGUUAAGCUCAAUUUUGUCUACACUGACUGGCAACAGCAAUCCAGAUGGGAUCCCUCCGCCCCAAUCCUACCUAGAGAUAUGAGCGAUUGAGUCUAGGGAAAUUUAAACAUGCAGAGCAUGUGCUCUAUUGAGCUACAUCCCAUCCCUAUGAUAACUAGUUACCCUCUUUUCUGCCUUUGUAAUUUCUAGAUUGACUUACUGUAAUGUGUUGCAUACAUGGCUGUCGCUCAAGAUGAUCCAGAAACCUUAAAUGGCUUUAAAACGUAGCUGCCUGUAAGUUAUCAACCAUAGGCUAUUGUAAACAUGUUGUUGUUUAGUCGUUUAGUCAUGUCUGACUCUUCGUGACUCCAUGGACCAGAGCACGCCAGGCACUCCUGUCUUCCAUGGCCUCCCGCAGUUUGGUCAGACUCAUGUUUGUAGCUUCGAGAAUACUGUAAACAUAUGAUACAUAUUUUGGAACAACUUCAUUGGUUUUCAGUUUGUUCCCAAGCUUAGUUCAGGGUGCAGUUUGUGAAUUUUAAAGCUGUUCUGUUUUGAAUAUGAUUAGUACAGAAACAGCAAGAAAGAGAUGGUAAAUGAUAGAGGCUAUGAAAGACAGUAACUCGUUUCACACUUGACUUAUCCAGUCUUCUGUCUCUCAAGAGCCUUAAUCAAAAUAGUUCUGAGCAUACAGAUACCUGUCUCCAUGCCAACUUUGCUGGGAUUUGUAAUAUAUCCUGCAGCCCUUGCCCAGUUUUAAGAAGAAAACGUCCAGUAACAUAUACUAAUACAAGGUGCAUUUCAUAUUUAGAAGCUGAAGAGCAAGGAGUAACAUGGGCAUAGAAAUACUCAGAAUGAAUCCUAUACAUUCCUUUGCACAAUAUAAAUAACUGUCUUAUUUGAUCAAGCCAAUACGGCAUCCUCUAUCUAGAACACACCUUUGCUUUCUCUGCCAUUAUAAAGCAAUAUUCUCUCAUGUACUGGAAAACAAGCAUAUCUAUGUUUUGGAUAUAUUUCAGUACAAUCCUACUGAUGUCCACUGCAGUUUAUUCUGACUAUCUGACAUUGUAUGAACAACACAACCAAAGUUGUUCCUAAUUAGUUGCCACCUUUAUUCUUGGAAAGCUACAUUGCUUUUUUACAGCUGCAUGACAGGCAGGAUUUCAGCAAAUAAACCAUUACUGUGUCUGCAUGCUGGGAAAACUUCACCUGCUGCAAUUUGCCUUAUUAUACAGUUAUUAAUGGCAAAUGAUCCAACCCAGAAAAGUAUUGCCAACUUUAUUCCUACUCCAUAUUUUUUAUUCUGUUCUUCUCAAUAUUGCUUUUUAUUGCGCAGUAUCAAGAAGCCAUAAAUUAGGACAAUAAUGCCUACCCACUUCAGACAGAAUGGUUGUUUCACAUUUAUUGCAAAUACUGUAAGCUGUUUACAGGCAGACUGCAUUAGGCUGAAAAACGCAAUAACCUCAGGGGCGGGGGGAAUUGUGGCAUCUGAAAUAACCCCUAAUUUCAAUUGGUGCAAGUAGCAAUAAGCCUGCUGGAAUAUGAAUAGGGUCCACCAUUUUAAAAUCUCGUACAGCUGUCAAUGCUUCCAUGAUAUCAUGGUCCUUUUUAACAGGAUACUGUGGGCAAUCUCGGCCCUGUGGAAUGCCUUGCAUGUUUAUUAAGUGAGCAUGUAACCACAGCAAGAAUCUUCUAAGACUGUCUAUAGUUAGACUUUGGAAGAAGCACAUGUCCUUCCUAAGUGAGAUGGCAUCUGGACCUUGUCAAGUGUGUCAGCUUUCACUCUCAGACUCUUGUUUCCCAGCAUAUAUUUGUGCAGAGAUUCCAAGCUGCAUUGAGGCUCCACCCUAAGUGAUACUGUUUUCUUCUCAUAUUAUCACAGUUCAGCCAUCAGUGACGAGGACUGUUUUAAUGAUUUACGAAGAUAUAAUGCCACAGACAGAUGUAGAGGGGAGUUGAGCUCUGUGCCCUAUCUUCAGCUUUGCUAACAAAAGGGUUGGGAGCACCAGAAUGGGGUUUGGGGAGUUAGAAACUUGUUGUGACAUGCCAACUGCCUAGAUAGUGACAAACAUAUUAUGAAUCUUCACACCCUCAUUCCACAUUCUGGGCAGCCUUAUGCUGGGGGACAGGAUGUGGGGACUCAUGGUGGGAGAUAGUGAUAUGGAGUACUGGUUAUAUGGGCACCAUGCUUUAUGGCUGCAAUGGAAGUGACACAAGAAUGGCCUCUUUGGGAAGAGGGAGCCCUACUUCAAUGGAUUUCCCACACCACUAAGAACUGAACUGCUGUAAGAAAGCUUGACAGAAGGAUGGAGAUGGAAGUUUAGAGUUCCUAGUAUGUUCAUAAUUUAACAAUCUGUUGUCAGUAGCCUCUGUGUUAGAAACAGUAAAGCUUUUCUUGCAAUAUGACUAGUUGGGGAACUUCUGCAAAACAUUUUAUGUGGCCUGUAGCCGUUGCUAGAGGACAGUCAUUCACAUUUGUCCUCCCAUCUGUUCCCUAGAAAAAAGUAUUUUCUUCUAUAUAGAAGCCAGUGCAUUUCAACAUUAAGUUUAGGGCAUGCUAUUUAAAAAAAAGAAUCUGAUCUCACCUGAAGGAGCUGUUUCUCAGAGGUGUUGAAGGCAUGGCAUGGGUCUGCCUUUUCUAGGGCUAGCUGUGAAGCUGCAUGCAUGUUAAGUUUUUAUGUAGGCAGGAUUGUUUCCUGCUGUGCUGCAUUGCUUCACUUACUUGUUUUUUAUACAUUGUUAUGAGUUUGUGAGGGUAAGCUGUAUGCCUGAGCCCCCGUCUAAUUCCUGGAUCCAUCACAGAUUCGAUUGCUGGAAUAGCCAGGCUAGCUUCCUGGUGAGAUAAUGGCCCUCUAGGUAUGGGCUAUUAAGAUAACAAAGGAACUGGUGCUGUGCCAGACUGAAAAUGGGUGGGCCUCCCUCAACUCACUGUUAGUUAGAAAGACAAAGAUCAGAGUUGGGAGUUGAGCUAUGUGAGCAAGAAGCUAGACACUGGAAGUGGCAAGUUGAGUAACUGGAAUGCUUGAUUUCUCUUACUGUUGUUAUUUAUUAAACUUGUAUAUUGCCCUUCAUCCGAAGAUCCCAG